UUAAGUUAGAAAGGGCGCACGGUGGAUGCCUUGGCACUAGGAGCCGAUGAAGGACGGGACGAACACCGAUAUGCUUCGGGGAGCUGUAAGCAAGCUUUGAUCCGGAGAUUUCCGAAUGGGGAAACCCACUGCUCGUAAUGGAGUAGUAUCCAUACUUGAAUACAUAGAGUAUGAGAAGGCAUACCCGGGGAACUGAAACAUCUAAGUACCCGGAGGAAGAGAAAGCAAAUGCGAUUCCCUGAGUAGCGGCGAGCGAAACGGGAACAGCCCAAACCAAGAGGCUUGCCUCUUGGGGUUGUAGGACACUCUAUACGGAGUUACAAAGGAACGAUAUAAGCGAAGAGGUCUGGAAAGGCCCGCCAAAGAAGGUAACAGCCCUGUAACUGAAAUGUUGUUCUCUCCAGAGUGGAUCCUGAGUACGGCGGAACACGUGAAAUUCCGUCGGAAUCCGGGAGGACCAUCUCCCAAGGCUAAAUACUCCCUAGUGACCGAUAGUGAACCAGUACCGUGAGGGAAAGGUGAAAAGCACCCCGGAAGGGGAGUGAAAUAGAUCCUGAAACCGUGUGCCUACAAGUAGUCAGAGCCCGUUAACGGGUGAUGGCGUGCCUUUUGUAGAAUGAACCGGCGAGUUACGAUCCCGUGCAAGGUUAAGCAGAAGAUGCGGAGCCGCAGCGAAAGCGAGUCUGAAUAGGGCGCAUGAGUACGUGGUCGUAGACCCGAAACCAGGUGAUCUACCCAUGUCCAGGGUGAAGUUCAGGUAACACUGAAUGGAGGCCCGAACCCACGCACGUUGAAAAGUGCGGGGAUGAGGUGUGGGUAGGGGUGAAAUGCCAAUCGAACCUGGAGAUAGCUGGUUCUCUCCGAAAUAGCUUUAGGGCUAGCCUCAAGGUAAGAGUCUCGGAGGUAGAGCACUGAUUGGACUAGGGGCCCCUACCGGGUUACCGAAUUCAGUCAAACUCCGAAUGCCGAUGACUUAUCCUUGGGAGUCAGACUGCGAGUGAUAAGAUCCGUAGUCGAAAGGGAAACAGCCCAGACCGCCAGCUAAGGUCCCAAAGUAUACGUUAAGUGGAAAAGGAUGUGGAGUUGCUUAGACAACCAGGAUGUUGGCUUAGAAGCAGCCACCAUUUAAAGAGUGCGUAAUAGCUCACUGGUCGAGUGACUCUGCGCCGAAAAUGUACCGGGGCUAAACGUAUCACCGAAGCUGCGGACUGUUCUUACGAACAGUGGUAGGAGAGCGUUCUAAGUGCAGUGAAGUCAGACCGGAAGGACUGGUGGAGCGCUUAGAAGUGAGAAUGCCGGUAUGAGUAGCGAAAGACGGGUGAGAAUCCCGUCCACCGAAUGCCUAAGGUUUCCUGAGGAAGGCUCGUCCGCUCAGGGUUAGUCGGGACCUAAGCCGAGGCCGAAAGGCGUAGGCGAUGGACAACAGGUUGAUAUUCCUGUACCACCUCCUCACCAUUUGAGCAAUGGGGGGACGCAGGAGGAUAGGGUAAGCGCGGUAUUGGAUAUCCGCGUCCAAGCAGUUAGGCUGGGAAAUAGGCAAAUCCGUUUCCCGUGAAGGCUGAGCUGUGAUGGCGAGCGAAAUUUAGUAGCGAAGUUCCUGAUUCCACACUGCCAAGAAAAGCCUCUAGCGAGGUGAGAGGUGCCCGUACCGCAAACCGACACAGGUAGGCGAGGAGAGAAUCCUAAGGUGAUCGAGAGAACUCUCGUUAAGGAACUCGGCAAAAUGACCCCGUAACUUCGGGAGAAGGGGUGCUUCUUAGGGUGUUAAAGCCCCGAGAAGCCGCAGUGAAUAGGCCCAGGCGACUGUUUAGCAAAAACACAGGUCUCUGCGAAGCCGUAAGGCGAAGUAUAGGGGCUGACGCCUGCCCGGUGCUGGAAGGUUAAGAGGAGCGCUUAGCGUAAGCGAAGGUGCGAAUUGAAGCCCCAGUAAACGGCGGCCGUAACUAUAACGGUCCUAAGGUAGCGAAAUUCCUUGUCGGGUAAGUUCCGACCCGCACGAAAGGCGCAACGAUCUGGGCACUGUCUCAACGAGAGACUCGGUGAAAUUAUAGUACCUGUGAAGAUGCAGGUUACCCGCGACAGGACGGAAAGACCCCGUGGAGCUUUACUGCAGCCUGAUAUUGAAUGUUGGUACAGCUUGUACAGGAUAGGUAGGAGCCUUGGAAACCGGAGCGCUAGCUUCGGUGGAGGCAUCGGUGGGAUACUACCCUGGCUGUAUUGACCUUCUAACCCGCUGCCCUUAUCGGGCAGGGAGACAGUGUCAGGUGGGCAGUUUGACUGGGGCGGUCGCCUCCUAAAAUGUAACGGAGGCGCCCAAAGGUUCCCUCAGAAUGGUUGGAAAUCAUUCGCAGAGUGUAAAGGCACAAGGGAGCUUGACUGCGAGACCUACAAGUCGAGCAGGGACGAAAGUCGGGCUUAGUGAUCCGGUGGUU
rnacentral:rRNA from 1 species